UGGAUCCACCAACCACCUUCCCUGUAAUGGGCAGGGGGCUGGAAUGGACUCACUGGUGGAGCUUUGAGUUCAUUCUUUCCCCCCAGGUCUCAAAUAUUGAGGCAUUUCUUCUCUCUGAGGGUGACAGCAAAGCUGCUGCCUCCCAGUUACAUCCCAGUUCUUUCCCCAUCACUCCUCCAGCUCUGUGGUUCCUCAGCCCCCCAGGGUAGGAUAGUUUGGAGUGUCAGAAGGAAGGAAUGGACUUUCAUCUGGCCACUCUACCUGACCAACCACCAACUCUUGCUACUGUAUUCCUCUUUUCCAGCCUCACUUGUGGCUCCUGACCCCGAGGUUUGAGCCUCUGCACCUGCAGCCAUUGAAGUAGCACAGGAGAAAGCUGGGCUGGGACUAUUGGCAGGUCUGGAUGGAAAACUGGGAUGGCCAGGACUUUGCAGGUGAAGCAUCAGAGGCUCCAGAGAGGCUGGAGAAGGUCUUGGACCAAAAAGUCCAAAUCUGGCUUCAGGAAAAGCACAUGGCUUGCCUUUGGCAAUACUGCCAAGGAAUUAAGCUAGAUAAAAAAAUCAG